GACCGUUAAUUCAACCGCAAGCAUGCCAGUUGUAAACAAUAACAUGUUUUUAAAGAUAUAUUAUGAUAAGUUUUGCGUUUGGAAUUUCGAAAUAUCCGUGUAUAAAACAAGUACAAAUGAACUGUUCAGGAAGUUAGUAAGAACUCGGUCACAAAUAUUUUUGAAAACAUUGGAUAUUAUGCAGUGUGUACUAUAUUGAACUGUAAUUUUCUAAAUGUAUUACAUUUUUGAAAACUGACCCUUAGAGGUUUCUACGAAACAAUAAAUAUAUUUUAAAAAUGUAUUAUUCUUUGUUCUGUAUUUAAGAUACAAGCAGAAAAUAAGCUAGUUGUUUAUGAAUAGUAUGUGUAUGAACGUGUUCACCACAUGCGUCAAACAUGAGCCGCCACAUGUAUUGCAUCAUCAUUAACGGUCGAGGAAACAUUCCAAACACCAGGAGAAAAUAAAGGAACUUAUUAUUAAAACAGAUAUUCUUUCAAAGAACAACCAUGUGCUCUAUAUGAUAGCAGUCGAAUAGUGACGUAGGACGAACAUUAAUAAGAAGUCAUGGGAUUCGAUUAUCGUUUUCUAGUAGUAAUCGUGCUAAUGUUGACGGUUCUGUUGACGUUAACAUACGCCAAACGUCAAUAUUGUCAAAGUGUAGGCUGGAUUGGUUGUGUGGAUGUAGGGUGCGGAGAUGUGGGGGAUGGGGAAUGCAUCAAUCUUGGAGAUCCUCCACAUAACAACUGUGUCUGUGUUAUACGAUUUCGGAGAUAGCAGCAUGUGCAGGACUAAGAAAAAACGCUCAACUUAUUGAAAGUGUUUUAUGACUGUUCUGUUCAGUAAAUGAUUCCUUGUAAUUUUGCUAAUGGUGAAAACUGUACCUUUUCAAGAACAAGUAUGUGAUCUCUGACAUAUCUAUCUAUGUAUGUUUGUUAAUACCUGACUGUAAUCUAUUCCUUACGCUUUCGGAGACAUUUGCAACUUAGGAAAGGAACGAACAACAGUUGGAUGUAUUAAUCAUAAUUGGAGUUUUUAAAUUAUAAAUGAGACAAAUGUGUGAUUGUUAUACACUUGCUGACAUUUCAGUUGAAAUCAGUAAAAAUAGUGUUUUUUCAGACGGCUAUCAGUUUUUUGAAAUGAGUGUAGCUUUAUUAUGACAUGGAAAAAUCAGAACCAACUAUGUUUUAUAUAUCGUGUUUCAAUAAUACCAUGCCAGGAAUCUAAUAUCAUUCAUUCAUUCACACGCGGCAGAGGGAAAGACUUCCAUCUAUUUUUGAAAAAGUAAAUGUGCAUAGCUGAAUGGAGCUUACAACUAAAGUACACCAUAUAUCAAUCAAAAUAGUUCAUUCAUAUCAGACACUACCUAAAGGUACAUUGUGGCGUUGUCUGAUGUCAACAUACGCAAUGUUAUACGUGCAGCUUUAUAUAUGUCUCUCCAUAAUAUCUACCUCAUUAAUUCAUGAUAAUUGCCAAGUCUAGAAAGCAAGCAUGUGUGAUAAAAGAUGUUAGUAUAUAACUCAAAGGCUGCAUCAUAUUAAUGAAUCUCCUUUUGAAAGAAGAUGGAAAAGGCACAUAGUGCAAAAAUUGUAUUGAAUGUUAUUUAUGAAUGUUUAUUCAAUUUGUUUGCACAUAAUGUUAUGAUUGUAUUGUACAGUAAAACCCCUCUAUUCAGACCACCUGUGGGACUUUGAGGAAAUGGUCGUAAUAGCGGGGUGGUCUUAUUACUGAGUUUGUGCCGAUUUGUUUUGUGAACGGUCAAGGGGUCGAAUUCCUUGGAUUCUUAAUAUGUACGUGUACAUGCAUUACUCGGUAUAGGUAAUAUGGGUUUAUAGUAAAUUCUAAUCAAGCAGAGAAAAUAAAUAAACAGUUAUGUCUUUUAUUCAUUACAUCACUAAUAUUGUUGUUUAUUGUGUAUGUUUUCUCGAAUCGUAAUGCUUGAUGCUAUGUAUGAGUGUUGGGUGUUUUUACUCAAAGCGUAAUGUUUAAUGCUAUGUUUGAGUGUUUAUUGGGUGUUUUUACUUGUAGUGUAAUGUGUAAUGCUAUGUAUGAGUGUUAUUGGGUGUUUUUACUCAAAGUGUAAUGUUAAAUGCUAUGUAUGAGUGUUAAUUGGGUUUGUUUAAGCAUAUACUUAUGCAUGAACAUAUACUAUCAAAUUAUGUGAUAGUGCAAAAUAGACGUUAGUUUUGCAUCGUAUUUAUAUUUCUUGAUGUAAGACAAUUUAUAUUGGAACGUGCUUGUUUUGUCAUCGUUAUUUUUAUCAUUGCAUAAUUUUCAUUGUAUGAAUCUAUUUAAUUUCCGUGAGUUGAAUAAAUAUGUUUGAACUAAAUCA